rnacentral:rRNA from 1 species
GACGAACCGUGCAAACGUUAUUCGGAAUCACUGGGCAUAAAGGGCGCGUAGGCGGCUCCAAAAGUCAGGGGUGAAAUCCGGCAGCUUAACUGUCGCAGUGCCUUUGAUACUGUGGAGCUAGAGGGAGGUAGGGGUCUGUGGAACUUCCGGUGGAGCGGUGAAAUGCGUAGAUAUCGUAAGGAAGACCAGUGGCGAAGGCGGGUCUCUGGACAGUUCCUGACGCUGAGGCACGAAGGUCAGGGGAGCAAACGGG